GGGGAAUUUUGGACAAUGGGCGCAAGCCUGAUCCAGCAAUACCGCGUGUGUGAAGAAGGCCUGCGGGUUGUAAAGCACUUUCAGUUGGGAAGAUAAUGACGUUACCAACAGAAGAAGCACCGGCUAACUCCGUGCCAGCAGCCGCGGUAAUACGGAGGGUGCAAGCGUUAAUCGGAAUUACUGGGCGUAAAGCGUGCGUAGGCGGUUUUUUAAGUCAGAUGUGAAAUCCCCGGGCUCAACCUGGGAACUGCAUCUGAUACCGGGAGACUAGAGUGGGAGAGAGGAGAGUGGAAUUUCCGGUGUAGCGGUGAAAUGCAUAGAGAUCGGAAGGAACAUCAGUGGCGAAGGCGACUCUCUGGACCAACACUGACGCUGAGGCACGAAAGCGUGGGUAGCAAAC
rnacentral:rRNA from 1 species